rnacentral:rRNA from 1 species
UACGUAGGGUGCAAGCGUUGUCCGGAAUUAUUGGGCGUAAAGAGCUCGUAGGCGGUUUGUCGCGUCUGCUGUGAAAACUCGGGGCUUAACUCCGGGCCUGCAGUGGGUACGGGCAGACUAGAGUGCGGUAGGGGAGACUGGAAUUCCUGGUGUAGCGGUGAAAUGCGCAGAUAUCAGGAGGAACACCGGUGGCGAAGGCGGGUCGCUGGACAGUUACUGACACUCAACUACGAAAGCGUGGGGAGCAAACAGG